CGCGUAGGCGGCUCUGCAAGUCGAAGGUGAAAUCCCUCAGCUCAACUGAGGAACUGCCUCCGAUACUGCAGGGCUUGAGUUCCGGAGAGGGUAGCGGAAUUCCCAGUGUAGCGGUGAAAUGCGUAGAUACUGGGAGGAACACCGGUGGCGAAGGCGGCUACCUGGACGUAUACUGACGCUGAGGCGCGAAAGCGUGGGGAGCAAACAGGAUUAGAUACCCUGGUAGUCC
rnacentral:rRNA from 1 species